AUGUGGGGUAGAGGCGCAAAAUUUAACAGUCUUUAGUGGAGCUUGAGAAGGUGAUGAAACUAUGGAGAAGGAAAUUUUGCCGAAGCUUGUAAUAUUUCUCAGUGUUACUUGCUGGGUCUGCAAUUAAGAGUUGCAGGACUGUCUUAAUAAACUUCCCGGUUUAUUAAGUUGUGCUAUCUCAAAU
rfam:Clostridium sp. 7_2_43FAA genomic scaffold supercont2.2, whole genome shotgun sequence.